UACGGAGGGAGCUAGCGUUGUUCGGAAUUACUGGGCGUAAAGCGCACGUAGGCGGCUUUGUAAGUUAGAGGUGAAAGCCCGGGGCUCAACCCCGGAAUUGCCUUUAAGACUGCAUCGCUUGAAUCCGGGAGAGGUGAGUGGAAUUCCGAGUGUAGAGGUGAAAUUCGUAGAUAUUCGGAAGAACACCAGUGGCGAAGGCGGCUCACUGGGACCGGUAUUGACGCU
rnacentral:rRNA from 1 species